GGGUGACGAGCGGCGGACGGGUGAGUAAUGUCUGGGAAACUGCCUGAUGGAGGGGGAUAACUACUGGAAACGGUAGCUAAUACCGCAUAACGUCGCAAGACCAAAGUGGGGGACCUUCGGGCCUCAUGCCAUCAGAUGUGCCCAGAUGGGAUUAGCUAGUAGGUGGGGUAAUGGCUCACCUAGGCGACGAUCCCUAGCUGGUCUGAGAGGAUGACCAGCCACACUGGAACUGAGACACGGUCCAGACUCCUACGGGAGGCAGCAGUGGGGAAUAUUGCACAAUGGGCGCAAGCCUGAUGCAGCCAUGCCGCGUGUAUGAAGAAGGCCUUCGGGUUGUAAAGUACUUUCAGCGAGGAGGAAGGCAUUAAGGUUAAUAACCUUAGUGAUUGACGUUACUCGCAGAAGAAGCACCGGCUAACUCCGUGCCAGCAGCCGCGGUAAUACGGAGGGUGCAAGCGUUAAUCGGAAUUACUGGGCGUAAAGCGCACGCAGGCGGUUUGUUAAGUCAGAUGUGAAAUCCCCGGGCUCAACCUGGGAACUGCAUUUGAAACUGGCAAGCUUGAGUCUUGUAGAGGGGGGUAGAAUUCCAGGUGUAGCGGUGAAAUGCGUAGAGAUCUGGAGGAAUACCGGUGGCGAAGGCGGCCCCCUGGACAAAGACUGACGUCA
rnacentral:rRNA from 1 species